UCUAGUUAGCUAUAUGUAUAUAAAUACAUAAUCAUAUGUACAUACAUAUGUAUAUGCAUAGUGGCUUUAGUGAUUUUCAAGAGAAUCUCUCAAUGUUAGCUCAGAAAGAUUGCCGUUUGUAAACAAAUCACACGCCGCGCAGUUUUAUUUCCACUUUGGCCGAGUUCGUGUUUGUAUGUAUGUAAAUGCGUCGAUAAUGUGUUUAUGUUUGCUGGAUUUAUGCAUGUUCGUAUAUAUGUACAUAUUAAACGUGCAAAAUGAGGAGAUGGUGAGCCCAACUCCACAAACAAUGAUGAUGAAGAAGGCGUUUCAAUACCUGAAUAUGAAGAAGUUCAAAUAGCUCACUGUCAACAAACUGACUGAACCAUAUCGGCGUGACUAGGUGUUAACGAUUCACCAAAUCUUGAAAAAUACCAGCCAAGCCAGAGGAAACUGAAGUCCUCGGCAUUCCAAUUGGCUCCAAACAGCGAGUCGAAAACUUACCGUAUUUACCAGCCAAGUGUUUGCUGCUUUCAGCAACAGCUC